GGCCAGGCGUGCUGGAUGGCGGUAUCUCAC
rnacentral:piRNA from 1 species